AUUGAACGCUGGCGGCAUGCCUUACACAUGCAAGUCGAACGGUAACAGGUCUUCGGAUGCUGACGAGUGGCGAACGGGUGAGUAAUACAUCGGAACGUGCCCGAGAGUGGGGGAUAACGAAGCGAAAGCUUUGCUAAUACCGCAUACGAUCUCAGGAUGAAAGCAGGGGACCGCAAGGCCUUGCGCUCACGGAGCGGCCGAUGGCAGAUUAGGUAGUUGGUGGGAUAAAAGCUUACCAAGCCGACGAUCUGUAGCUGGUCUGAGAGGACGACCAGCCACACUGGGACUGAGACACGGCCCAGACUCCUACGGGAGGCAGCAGUGGGGAAUUUUGGACAAUGGGCGCAAGCCUGAUCCAGCCAUGCCGCGUGCAGGAUGAAGGCCUUCGGGUUGUAAACUGCAUUUGUACGGAACGAAAAGACUCUGGUUAAUACCUGGGGUCCAUGACGGUACCGUAAGAAUAAGCACCGGCUAACUACGUGCCAGCCGCCGCCGUAAGAC
rnacentral:rRNA from 1 species